rnacentral:rRNA from 1 species
AUUGAACGCUAGCGGCAUGCCUAACACAUGCAAGUCGACCGAGCGGCGGACGGGUGAGUAAUGUAUGGGAAGUGCCCGAUAGAGGGGGAUAACUACUGGAAACGGUCGCUAAUACCGCAUACUAUCGGAUAACCCAUAUGGGAUUAGCUAGUAGGUGGGGUAAAGGCUCACCUAGACGACGAUCUCUAGCUGGUCUGAGAGGAUGAUCAGCCACACUGGGACUGAGACACGGCCCAGACUCCUACGGAGGCAGCAGUGGGGAAUAUUGCACAAUGGGCGAAAGCCUGAUGCAGCCAUGCCGCGUGUAUGAAGAAGGCCUUAGGGUUGUAAAGUACUGUCAGCGGGGAGGCGUUACCGGCAGAAGAAGCACCGGCUAACUCCGUGCCAGCAGCCGCGGUAAUAC